rnacentral:lncRNA from 1 species
AAUGGAGGUGGGGCAGAUUUUGCUCAGCUUCGUGUGUAAAUCCUGUGAAUUGAUAUUGAUAGUUUGGUAAAACGAAUUGCAUCAAAGUGGAGGUCAUUCAGGCAUUUUAAUGAUGCAUGCUUAAAUACAAAUUUUACGAAACUUCUGCCUCACGAGAUGUAUAACUACCACAAUUUCAUAUGGUUUGUUUCAUUAGUACCUGAACUUUCUAAAGAAACACGAAAGGUAAUCAAUUCAGCUGAUUGUUACAGUGGAAAAUCAUGACAUCCUUGAGUGCUAGACCAUUGUUUUCUCCAACUUUUUACUGUUUCUCGGGAACAUUGACCUUGUAAUAUUAUCUCUGUUAUGUGGAGUUGUUGAUGGCCCCUAAAAUUCCAAUGCUCCAGAUUCAUCUCGUACCUCAUUACAAUUUCAGAUGUGUUUUGAAAUUAGAAAACCAAUCCCUGAAUAGACUAGGGACAAUGUAGAUUUUCCAAUGCACAAUGGGGAAAAUGUGUUAAAUUGUGCACAAAUCCGUGUGAAGUUGAACUUAGCGUUACUUGUACAUUCAUUCAGAGCCUUUAAUACCAAAUCUGCCCAGUUUGUUUCUCUUGAUUAAAAUCACACGUAGAGUGGAGAUACCUAUCUGUAGCAAGAGCACGUAGUUGCAGAUUCGCAGUACUAGUUCCUCUUACUGAUUGAUUAUGAUGUUUUGAUUACGGUCAUGGGAUACGAUUGUAUGACAUUCUUUUGAUGGCCUACAAAGCGAACAUUUGGCCCCUCAAAUCUCAAGUCGAAAAUCCUCAUCACGCUACUAGCCGUGAGUGGCAUCCUCCUAUCGUUCAUUCGUAUCUACCCCACAUUUAGGUCAAAGUUGUCCACCAACCAACGACAAAAAUUCCCCUUCGAUUGAUAAAAAGUUCCCUUAACGAUUUGGCGAUCCAUUAGACAUGGGUAUACAAUUUCGUGUAUUGUUUGCUUUUUGAAGUCAUUUAAUUGGGCAGUUAACCUCCAUCAACUAUAUCUUACCGUGAAUGGACUGCCCACGUUUUAGGGAAUGGUCAAUAUACAUAAAUGGCAUUAAAGGUCUGUCUUCUCAUAUUCUGAUAAAAAUGCGAUAAAGAAAGAAGUUGUGAAUUUGAUGGGACCGACUGAAGUGAGAUUGACCUUCUUUUUGCUGACAUAAAUCAAAAGUCAAUUGGUUCUAAGUGAGAAUCGACUCCUAAAGUCUUGCAUCUAUCAGAUAUAUUCAAUGUAUAAAUUCAGCAUGGAAAAAGGUAUUAAAUAUAAUAUUCACCAUUUACAUGGGCCACUAAGAUCGAUAUCAAGCAAAGAGUACAGGCAUAUGUCAUAAGAGGUAGAAAUAAUUUCGUUGGUAUUUCCUUCUCUCCGCUCAACUGCAAGAAAUCUUAUCAAUUGGAUUUUAAAUGUUAGCCUUUAAAAGGAUUUGGACAAUUUUAUGGAUUCGAAAUAAAUUUUAAAAGAUAAAACUCUACAGAUGCGAAAAAAGGUACAUGCCUUUCUAGGUGGUGAAAACAUUGUUGGAAACACCAUAAAUUUUUUCAUAAUAAUGACAAAAACAUAAGACACGGUCUAAGAUAAACUACAGAACUAAAAUGUCACUAAAUAAUUGAUUGGCCGCCACUUGGUCAACCUAAUAUGUGUGGAGAGUCAAGGACAAAACAUCCAAGUAUGACAGACACUCGAAAAGUCAAAAUCAAGAAGUCAAUAUACAUGAAUAAUUCCACAAGGAUCACAAAUUAUGGUGUCCAAUUCGAAAGGGGCUUCUCGAUCAAUCUUCGAACCAAUCUUGUCAAUUGAAAGUCUAUUGUUCCGUCAUUAAUAUAUAGUGAGGAAUUAAUCCUAGUGGCGCUAGAAUUCCCAGUCUCACGCUCCUCUCUCUCUUUGCUUCUUUUUUCUUGGACUUCACGUUCCUCGUACGUGCUGACUCUGCCUUCAAACGGAUUUUCUUCUAAAUUUGGGCAGCCGCUAAUUUUUAGAAAGCACUCCUCGGGUAUUUUUGAAUUAAAUACAUUAAGGAAAAUUUUCAAGGAUCUACAAUCGGUAAAUUUCAAAUAUUUGAGAGUCUCUAAUUCAUCCUGACCCUUAACUGCUAGAAGUUCUUCGCAUCCUCGAAUCGACAAGGACUUCAGCCUUUUCAAAGCCAAGAGAUCAUCUAGACUUUCAAUCUUAGGACAAUAAUUUAUUGCCAAUUGUUCCAACGACUCCACUGAUGGUUUGUUUCAUUAGUACCUGAACCUUCUAAAGAAACACGAAAAUUAAUCAAUUCAGGUGAUUGUUACAGUGGAAAAUCAUGACAUCCUUGAGUGCUAGACCAUUGUUUUCUCCAACUUUUUACUGUUUCUCCGGCCUAUUAACCUUGUAAUAUUAUCUUUUUGUUAUAUGGAGUUGUCGAUGGCCCCUACAUUUCCAAUUCUCCGGAUUCAUCUUGUAACUGAUUACAGUUUGAGAUGUGUUUCGAAAUUUGAAAACCGAUCCUUCAAUAGACUAGGGACAGUAUGGAUUGUGUCCAAUGCACAAUGGGGAAAAUGCGUUGAAUUGUGCAUAAUGCUGUGUGAAGUUCGAAUUUAGCAUUAUUUGUAGAGUCAUUCAGAGCCUUUAAAACCAGAUCUGCCCAAUUUGUUUCUCUUGAUUUAAUCAACACGUAGAGAGGAGAUAUCAACUGGGCAAACCAAUCUGCUUAAGGAAUAUAAACAGAUUGCGGAUGGCUAACAACAUGGAAGGCCUCUUAAAAUUAUCUAUAGCAAGAGCUCGUAGUUGUAGGAUUGCAGUACAGUUCUUCUAAACGAUUAUUUAUGAUGUUGUGAUUAUGGUUACGGAACACGAUUUUAUGACAUUCUCCUAUCGUUUGUUCUUAUGUUGCACAAGUUUGGGUCGAAGUUGUUCACCAACCAACGACAUAAUUCCCCUUCAACUGUAAAGAAAAUGUCUCGUGUUGCUUUGGAGAUCCAUUAGACGUGGUUACCCAAUUUCUUGUAUUGCUUGCUUUUGGUAAUCAUCUAAUCGUGCAGUUAAUCUCAUCAACCACGUCUUGCCAUAAUGAACUUUCUACGUUUUAGGGAAUGAUGAACAUAUAAUUGAUAUUAUGAAGAAUGCACCAUUAUUAAAGGCACGUCUUACUGUAUUCUGACAAAAAUGCAACAAAGAAAGAAGUUAUGAAAUUAAUACGACUGAUAGAAGUGAUAUUGACCUAGUUUUUGCUGACAUAUUCCAAGUGCAAAUAUUUUUCUACAGAGAAAGUGAAGAUAUAAAUUAAAACUCAAUUGGUUCUAAAUGAGAAUCUACUCCUAAAUUUUUUAUCUAUUGAGAAUAUUCAAUUGUAAAUUCAACGUGAAAAAUAUGUUGAAUGUAAUAUUCACCAAUCUUACAUUAGCCACUAAGAUCAAAUUAAGAGGUACCAUAAUGUCGUUGAUAUUUCCUUCUCUUUUUUGAACUUUAAAAUAUCUCAUUCAUUGGAUAACUUUAGCCUUAAAAAAAAAAAUCUGGACAAUUAAAUGGAUUAAAAAAAUUCUUCCAAUGUGAAAAAAAGUACAUGCCUUUCCAGGCUUUGACGACAUUGUCAGAAACACUACAAAAAAUUUCAUAAUAACGACAAAAACACGACGACAAUUUAAGAUAAACUACAUAACAAAAAUGUCACUAAAUUCUUGAAAUCUUUGUUUUUCAAUAGUGAGGAACUAACCCAAGGCACUAAAAAAAUCCCAGUCUUACACUCCUCUCUUUCUUUUCCUUCUUUUGCCCCCGACUUUCUGUUCCUUGUAAGUGCUGAACAUGCCAAAAAACAAUCCUGCUUCUAAAUCUGGGCAGCCGCUAAUAUGUAGUAGGCACUUGUCUGGUACUUUCAAAUUGAAUAAGUUGGAGAUACUUUUCAAUGAUCUGCAACCGUGAAAAGACAAUAUUGUGAGAGUCUCUAGUUCAUCCAGGCCCUCAACUGCCUGAAGCUCUACACAACAUCGAAUUAUCAAGGACUUCAGCUUUUUCAAAUCUGAUAGAUCAUCUAGACCUCCGAUCUUAGGACACCGCGAUAUUUCCAAUUUCUCCAACGAAUCCAAUGAACCAAGACCUUGGAUGGCAGUAAGAUUUGGACACAUCUUCAACGUGAACAGCUUCAAACUCUUCAAACUUGAAAGACUAGAAAAUCUCUCAAGGAGGCUUGAGUGACUCACUUCAAAUUCAACCAACUGUUCAAGCCCAUCGAAUUGAACGUCCUUCCAAUGACAUUUACCAAUGUACAAACAUGUCAAUUUUCUCAAGUUACAACAAAAUGACAAACUAAUUGUGUGAUUUUGCAAUGACAAUGUUGAAACACAUGGUGGAAGGACCUCGAGGGACAGUUGGCAUUGACCAUCUUGGAAGAAGAAAGGACCACAGUUCUCUGCAUGACCAUCAUAGCUCAAAUCCUCCAAUUUAGUUAGGUUUGAGAGAUUCGGGAAUUGCCGCAAUGAAUGUGAUCCUAAGCUUAGGCUUAUCAAAUUUGUGGGAAGCUCCGGUAAUACUUUGAGUUCUCUACACCACCCUAAACUCAAUUUCUCUAGGCGAGAAAGUAGUUUGAUCUUCCGUGGAAUAUUUUCAAUAGGGGUGUAUUGCAAUUCCAACACUCUCAAAAGUGAUAAUUGCCAAAUGUCCUCAGGAAUUUCCCACUUUAGAUCCGAGCAACCGUUGGCAUGCAGCUCUUCCAACUCUUUUAGCGCAACAAUGCUCCGUGGUAGCUUUUUUAUUGGAGAACACGAAAUCCUAAUGAUUUUUAAUCUACUUAGGUCUCCAAUAGAUUUAGGUAACUGCAGACAUUUUGUGCUUGAAACAUCCAACUCAAGUAGAGAUUCCAAGUUACCAAUCGAGAACGGAAGUUCCCUUAUGUUAGUAUGUGAUAGAAAGAGAGACUUAAGUUCUCGUAAAUUCCCAAUAGAAUUGGGAAGUUCAUCGAUUUUUGUAGAUUGCAAUUUAAGAACAGACAAGCGAUAUUGGUUACCAAUGGAGUCGGGUAAUCUUGUGAUGGCUGUAUCCGAGAGAUCUAACUCUACUAGCGAUGUCACUCUCGCAAAUGAUUGGGGUAGCUUCCUCAACUUUUCGCAACUGCCUAAAUACAAGUACUCGAGCUUCUGUAACCCUCCGAUUCCUUUGGGCAGCUCCCUAAGAUUUUUGCACCCAUGCGCAUCGAAGUAAAUCAAGCACUUAAGCUUUUUGAGGGAACCAUCAACUUCAGUUAGUUUUUCACAAUACCCAAGGUUCAAUCUCUCUAAACUCAAAUAAUCGGAGAAGUUUGGAGUCCUGGUCAUGUUGCUACAAUGUGAGAUAUCCAAAACUUUAAGCUUUUUAGCAACCUGUUACAGUAGCAAAAUGAGAGUAAAGGGAAAAUUCCAUACGAAUUUAGAGUAAAUAAAUGGUUGUGCUAGAACCUAGAUGUAAUUGGGUUGACUCAUUUUCCUCAUUUAACUCACAUAGAUCCGUUUAGUACUAACACCUAGCUAACCUAAUCCACAUAUAUUCACCUAUAUAUCAAUUCAGUGCAAUUUAAUUUAAUGGCCUUGAUUAAAUCCAUUAAUGAGCGAUUUUAUUUACAGCAUGUUAUUGCCUAUAUAGUUAUGGGUUAGUCAAUUUUAGUUAAAAACAUAAAAAUUGCAUGAGACAAUUCAAUGGAGAUAAACAAAUAUAGCGACGAUGGUACCUUGAAUUGACUCCAUCCAGCCCAUUCCUCUGUGAUUGAACCAAACAUCAGUUGAAGAACUACAAGAUUGCUUGGAUGGAAAUUGAUGGCCAAGAACUCUCGAGAGACCCCUUCGCAGGUCAUGUAUCUUAACUCUGAAAACUGAUUCACAAAGUCUCCAUUGAAAUUCCCCCCCUUUAAUAUGAGGAACCUUAUGUUUGGAAGCCUUGAAAACUCUUUGCUCGUAUAAACUCGUGUUGGUUCACAUAAGCAAAUUGCUUCAAUGGCCUUCUUUCUCUGCCAUUCAAUGGUAAAGUAGCAUAAGUGCAAAUGACAAAUAUCUCCGUUCCCUCACCCCCCCCCCCUUCUUUUAAGAAAGGACUCCUAAUUAAUAAAUGAACUAUUGAGAAAAACAUAGAAUUCGAUGGUCGGACAUAUGCUUUUACCUCGUUUGUUCCUAUGAUAUUAUUGGCCGUCUCAGGAACCCAUAACCUGCUUUGCUUUCUUGGAUCAGUUAGUCUCGUAUCUCCACGAACGAUUUUCCUUCCGAGAUCUUUCAGUUGGUCGUGCAUCCAGAAUUUGUUGUGAUCAGUUAUCUUUAUUAAGGACAUACAAACAAGGACUUGAAUUGAAUAAUCCGACCUAAACCCACAAUCCUUCCACAUGUAGAGUGCAUUUGUCUUGUCCUUGUCCACAAAGAGACAUGCGAUGUCGAGAAAAAUCUGUUGUUGCUCAUGAUUCAAGGCAUUGUAGCUGAUCUUCAGCUUGUCCUGGACCUUCUCAGGAGGUAUUUCUCUCAAAUUGUCUAGCACAUCAUACCAUGAGGCUUUGUUUUGACGAUAAACCAAUGAGCCUAUGACUUCAAGAGCCAAAGGAAGUCCUCCGGUCGUAGAAAUUAUUUGUCUCGAAAGAUUGACAUAAUCAUCUGGAGGAGGAUUCCUUCCAAAAGCAUGUCGACUGAAAAGCUCUAGUGAUCGAACAUUAUCCAACGGCUUCACUUCAUACUCCAAAGUUUUGUUGGAUUUUAUGAUGCUUUUGUUCCUACUUGUCAUAAUAACUCUGCUUCCUAAGCCGAACAUAAUGUGGUUGAUGGCUAGUUUCUGGAGUUGCUCCUCAUCAUCCACAUCGUCAAGAACGAGCAAGACUUUCUUGUUAGAAAGUCGUUGCAAAAUCACUUUGAUCCCAUCGUCAACAUCGUUGAUUUGAUCUUGAAAGCCCAAACCCAAUGUGCUAGACAAUAAUUGUUUUUGCAAAUUUAUGAUGCCAAAGCUGGUCGACGAUUCCCGGACAUUUCCUAGGAAGCAGCAUUGAUUGAAAAGGGAAUUUAGUUUGUUGAACAUUAUCUUAGCAAGAGUUGUUUUACCGAUUCCGCCCAUUCCAUGGAUUAGCACAAAGCGCAAGCCCCCGGAGUCCAUGUCCAACAACUUCAGAACGGCUUCCACUGGAUCAUCCAUUCCAACUAAAUGCUCGGUAACGUAUUUGUCUUUUGUCUUCAGCUUCAGCACAAUCUCUUGUAGCACCGAUUGAAUGAAUUUCCAAUGCCUGCCACAUGAGUGAGUUAACUAAGUUGAUAUUGUAAAAGAUGACCUCAGGACACUCAACAUGUGGUUGCAACCAACAUGGCUAGUGCCACUUAUUUAAUUGGCUAGUGCAACCGACGGGAAGACAUUUUUAUGUGCGUUUGGAACACGACUUCCCUGUGAUUUAAACAAAUAAUCACAUACAGAAAAUUAUGACAUUUUUUAUUUAUUUAUUUGCUUCCGAAAUGGUAACACUUUGACAUAGAUGGAUAGGACACUUGCUCUAGUUCCAUGUAAAAAUCUAUCGAUAAGGAGAGAGAAGGUAACUUUUAAGGAUGUGAUCCACAAUUUACAAACACAAAGAUGUAUAAAAUUAGAUCUAUCAAUGAAAGAAUGCCCUCUUGUCUAUCAUUCAAAGAAUAGACUAUUAGAUGUAGGCAUUUUCCCAUGUUAAAGGAAGCAAGGCAUUGCUAAUUGAUUCCUAAUCCCUUUUUAAGGCAGUCUUGGUAGCUAGGAUAAGAGCUAAGAAGAAAUGUAUUGAAAGUUUUCACACUUAAGAUAGUUAGAAGCAAAAUAAAGUACGUGAGAAAACUAACCCAUCAAAUUGGAGUGCUAAAGUUUCGACCCAAAAAAAAUAAAAAUGGAGUGCUAAAGUAAGGAAAGAACUAAAAAACAAAAACAUAAAAGUACAAACGAAUUACUUCUUGAAUUUACUAACGCAUCUCCCACCUCUAAACUUACCAAAAAAGAAAAAGAACUUUGACUGAAUACUUACCCGGUUUUUGCUUUAUUUGUUUUCGAUGAAUGACAAAAUUGAUUCCGUUGUCGAAAAUAAUUUUGAAAACAUACAUGGUAUGAAUUUAAUUUCAAACAACUUAAACGAGAAUUCAUCCAAGUUUGGGCAUAUCAUUAAUAAAAGUCCAAAGCAAAAGUUAAUGGAGUGCUUCAGGAUCCGUGCAUACCCUUGCUUUUUCAACUCCCAUCCUUUGAUUUGGGCUACACUUUUGAGGGCAUCCUCCCACUUUAGCCUCGUCUGGCGACCGAACUUCUCUUCAUGCUCGUCCAAGGCGCUGACGUACUGUUGAGACUUAAGCUUAACAUCGCAAGGCUUAACGUCGUAGAAAAUCGGCAUAAUCUCCUUCUCGGAUGGUUUGGAUUUCUUGCACUCCACCAUGUGUGUGAGCUCGCGAAGACACCACGCGCUCGAAGCAUAACCUUCAGAGAAGAUGGGUAUGUAGAUCUUCGACUUUUGGAUGGCCGCCGGUAGCUCAUCAGCUAUUUCUUCACCAACGUGGAGCUCUUCCUCAUCGAGGAAAACAUGGAUGUUUGCUUCUAGCAUUUGGUGAUAAAGACAAUCCGUGAAUGCUUGGCGAGUAUCCGGUCCCCUGAAACUCAAGAAAACGUCGUAAUCAAUCGCCGACGGCUCACCACCGCUCGUUCCAGCCUCCGAGCUGUUUCCCAUGUCCAUUCUCACAAGUAUUUUCUUCUGAGGGUUUCCUCUCUCGUAGCACCUGAACAAGAAAGGCUCGUUCACUUUACCACCACUGAGGUUCGUUUAUAUUACGCUUCGGACCUAUCUUCCUAGAACUUUCCCCACUGUUUUUCACAUAAGAAAAGCAAACCAAUUCGAGUCUUCGUCAACUCUAAAAUGGCGUGACCAUUACGCGUAGCUUUUUGGCCCCCGGUGGUCUCUGCCUCUUGUAGACUUGACUUUGGCGAACGCCCAACAUGUAAGGGCUGCGACCGAUGACUGCAACGCCGAGAAGGCUGCGACCACCAACUGCAACGCCGAGAAGCCUUCUCGAUCGUCUUGGUCGGCUGCGACCGCCGACUGCAACGCCGAGAUGGAGAACCGCAAUGCCGCGAUGGAAGGCUGGACGCGAGGCUACGACGGCAAAGGGGGAACGGAGGCGAGGCAGCGGCGAGAGAGGUAGAGACCGAGCAAGGGAGAGAAGAAGGCGAUUGCUAGGGUUUUUGUCCUUUGGGCUAUUACUUCACUGAUUGCGUUUUCAAUUUUAGGAAGGACGGCAAGGAGAGAGACAACGGCUUCCGGGAAAGAAACGAAAGCCUCGUGUAGCGUGACUUCAAUAUUGGGAAGUGACAGGCGUAGGCGGUGGGUGGGGUGGGUGGAGAAAACGGUGGGUGAAAUGAAUGAGUGAGACCCGUUAAGCCAAAAAAAAAAAAAAAAUAUUGAAUGUUAAAUAACUUUAUCAAUACAUGGUAAGACUAAAAAAUAAAUAAAUUGACGGGUUAAAAAGUUAUUUCGAAAGAUAAAAGCAUUAAAUGUUAAAUAAUGAUAUUUUUUUUUUUUUGUGAACAAGAGAACUUGCGCACCGUACUAACACGAAUAGCCCGAAAGGCCCGGGAUAACAGGGUAAACCCUGAGGGUAACACUUGCUAGCCACCACAUAUGUGCCACCGGGUAAGUCACCAGCAGCGCCACCCGGGUGGGUGGUUAAAAUAAUGAUAAAUUUUGAUCAUCGUAGAAAGAUAUAAAUUUAUUUUGACUCUAAUCUCUUGUUAGUUAUUUAUUUCAUUUAUAGCUUUUGUUAAAAUCAAAAAAUGUCAUUCCAAUUUUUUAUGAAUAAAUUUAUUAAUGUUAUUAGUAUAGAUUUAUUAUAGGCUCUUUUUUAUUAUUUAUUUAUUUAUGAAUUUGAAUAUAUUAAUUUAAUAUAAUAAUUAAUAAUGUAUAUAUAAAAAUAUUCAUUUAAUAUACAACAUGUCCCCACGUAUUGGAAUUCUCUUUUUCUGAAUGGAAAUAAAAUAUUGAGGAAAUUACAUUACUGGUCCUUGUUUUCUCCAUGAUUUCAUUUUCGGUCCCCAACUAUGCUUUGUUUUUUUGACGGGCACAGACAAAAAGAGAUUACAAUUUUAUUUUACUUCCUUAAGUCCAGUAUAUUUUUCAAACUUAAGUGAUAUUUUUGAAAUAGAUUUUUGAUUAGAUUUCUUUUACUUGAAGAGGAAAUUCUCCCCUUUUAUUAGCUAAUUUGUUUCCUAGAUUUGUUUGGAGAGACUUUCUUUUGUCUCUUUUUUUUGGUAGUGCUCGCAUCUUCAUUUUCUUUAAACUUAAGCAAUUGAAACUUACACAUAAAAACGUUGACAUGUGGAAGAUUUAUCCAUGGAAAGAACGAAGCAAUGCCCAUUAUCAACAUUGAAAUGCAUAAAACAGAAAUAGAUCUAUCAAUAGCGCGUAUGAUAAUCAUUCAAUUAUUUUUAUAUUUUUAUAUUUUUCUAUUUUCGAGAGAAUAACUUUGGAAUAGAAAUUCGUCUGAUAAGACAAUUUAAUUUUUCUACUUUUGGAACAAUUUUUUAGUUUAUAAAUAAGUUUUUAAUAGAAAUGAAAAGUAAAAAUUUUCUACUUUUCUAUUUUUAGAACAAAAAUUAGGAAUAAAAUAUCUUCUCAUCACUCAUCCUCGCUACUAGCUGGCCGCCCACCUGUCGCUUGCCACCUCCCGCUGCCUGUUGGCUAUUAUCCCUCGUUGGCCAUCUCCUGUUGCUCACUAUAGUUGACCAUCUAGGAAAAAUAAAUUUUAGGUUGUUACUAAACGAAUUAUUAUUUCAAGAAUGAAAAUUUUAUAUUAUCAUUAAACAUGUAAUUUUUUUUAUUUCUAACCAAAAAUUGAUUUCUAGAAUAGAAAUCACACACGACAUGAGUCCAUAAGCAAGCAACAAAAAAAGAAGAAGGGAUCACAACGCGAAUCAAGAACUCACAGAGGUAGAUUUUCCAAAAGAGUCACUUACAUAAAAAAAAAAAAUCAUUAAAAAAAUAAAUAAAAAAAUUAAAUGAAUAAAAAUUAAGAAAAAAAUAAAAGAAAAAGGGCAUUGGCAGGCAAAAGUAGCCUGGCAUGGUUAAAAGCACAACAACAGAGAGAAGAAAAAGGUGGGCACGCGUGGGAAAGGACAUACUGGCAAAAGCCGUGGAAAUGGUGGGGGUGUAACGAGCACACGAGAUGUUUGACCGAGAUGCCUUUCUAAACUGAAGGUUGACCGAUGGUUGGAUUGUGGGCGCAGCUAAUUAUUUCUCACGAGGGAAGUAAGCGAAAGGAGGGUGGCAAUAACUCCGCCGAUUCAAUGGGCUUGAAAAACGAAUGGAGUUUGUUUGCAGUCGUGUCGAGCCUAUUUUGGUAAUAUUCUUAUUUGGAGAAAUAAUUUCUUUUCAAAAAAUAAUUUUUUAUUUUUUAUUUUUAAAUUAAUCUUCUUUACGGUCAACUUUUUUGUUUUCCGUCAUGGAAAGACAUGGAAAGACUUAUCUUUUUUUUUCUCUUUCUCUUGGGACGGUCUGCUCCGUGUUGGGGGCCGAAGGAGGGCUCCGGUCCAUGAUUGUCGGCAGCAUCUCUGGUCUCUCGUUUCAUUGUUCUAAUUGGUGGCGGUGUGAUUUUCUCAAUCACUGCAGGGGCACGUUUGGACCAAGGGUCUGAGAGAGGGUAGCUAUCUUUGGAUAGUAUCUUUGGAUAGUAUUUCUUAUUUUUACCGAUUUUCAAUCAGUAUUUACACAUAGUAAACUUAUUAAAGGGCUAAUUUAAAAAAAAAAUGCCAAUUUUACCUUGAUUGACAAUUCUGGCCUGAACCUUCUUUUAUGUCAAUAAAAAUCACAAAUUUUAUUUAGUCUCAAAUCUAGCCCUGUUAAUCGAAGCUUGAGAUCUUAUAAAUUGUGACAAGCGCUUUGGUAGGGCAUGGUUUUAGAUUCUCCCUUACUAUACUUCAUAACAAAAUCAGUUUAUGUAUUAAAUGAGAUCGAUUGAUUAAUGUCCAUUUGAAGAAAUUUUGAAGUUACAAGGGGAGGGCUUGGGCUUGCUCUAGAAAAUAAAGUUUUGAUUAUGAAUUUGGUAGAUCUUGUCCAUGGCGUCUCUUGAUGGGUGGUGGCCCACAUCCACAACUUCAUAUUAUGACAAAGCAGUGGAGGCUCGCUAGAGAGAUUCAAUUCAGAGAUCUUUUUGACUUGCCGGUGAAGUAAACGAAACUAUAAAUAGUUUCACCAUUAUUUUUAAGUUAUAGCUAAAAAAAAAAGGACAAUGGAUAGUGAUUAAGAUUCGAGUAGCAAGCAAUGUGGAUUUGUUGCUGAGGUGAAAUAAUCACAUUGGAGAAUUAAGAUUUCAAGUCAACAAGACUAGAUUUGAGACUUAAGUAAAAGUUAAUAUUUUUUAUAGACAAAAAAAAGUUCAUCGCAUAAUUGUUUUUUUUUUUCUGUGAGUAAAUUUGUCAUUCCCAAGGUAACUUAGUACUUGGUUUUCUAGUUAAUGCAUUUUUUUAUGUCAUAUCUCAAAUCUAAUGUUUUCAUACAGAUUCUGCAUAGGGAUCACAUGACGUGCAAAUUUGCACAGUUAGGCAUUGAUAAUUGAAUAUUUGCGUAACUAUAAUUGCCAUUUCAGAAUAGAAUUUUCCGUGAAUUAGUGUAAAUGCAUAUUUAGUACAUUAAUAUCACAUUUUUUUUUGUAAUCUUAAUCUCUAUCUUGCAUGGAUCAUAUGCAAUGAAAAGUAUAAAAAUAAAGUAAUUACAACUUGCAUGUUAGUAAUUUAGAUUGUGUCUUCAUUUAAAAAAUCACAAAAAAAAAAUAUGUUUAGGGGUUUAUUUGGGGGAAUUUAGAUAUGUUUCCAUUAUAUUUGUAUUAUUCUCCAAGAAUUGUGUUCCAUUUAGAGUGCAUUAUGCUAAAUUCUCGUAAUUAUAAGAAGGAUUUUUAGGAAAGCAACUUAUUUUGACAAGUUGCAUCCGCAAUUCCGCAUAUAUAUCCCUCGACACAUUAUACAUCUCAAAAGUCUUGCAUAGACUUCCCAUUCACCACUCAUUGGGUCUUACCUUGAAGCUCGACAUUGAGGCCUUAUGUCAUUUUAUCAGAUGCGGCUCGGGUUUUCAUCUUAUAGUUUUAGAUGUGAUUCCAAAUGUGAAAACCAAUCCUUGAAUGAAUGGGGACGAUAUAGAUUGUCCAGUGGAUAAUGGGCAAAAUGUGUUAAAUUAUGCACGACGCAUGAUCAAACAAAUAUUUUGAUAUUAUUCAAGGAUACAUAUAGUAUCUGUAAAAGCACAAAGCAUCUUUGUGAAGUUUGUAUUAUCACUACUUGUAGAUUCAUUCAGGGGAGAAUUAUCAAAAAAGUCCUAAACCUAUUACAAUUGUGUCAAUUCAGUCAUAAACAUUUUUUUUAGCCAAUUUAGUCCUAAACCUUUUAUAAUUGUGCCAAUUUAGUUCAUCCGGUCAAAAUUGGUCAGCCCGCACUGACGUGGACAUCGGCUGUUCAGCGAAAGCUGACAUGGCAAUUUUUUUAAUUAAUUAAUUAUUUUUUUUGGAAUUUUUAAAUAUUUUUUGGAAUUUUUAAAUAUAUAUAUUUAUUUUUUUUCAGCUUCUCCUUCCUCUGGCCGACAAGGGCCAGCGAGGCUGACCUCGCCGACCAAUGGUGAGGCCCCGCCAAAUCUGGUGAGGCCGGCCUCGCCCAGCCAUGGCGAGGGCCUAGCUCGCCGGCACUGGUGAGAUCGACCCUCGCCAUGGCUAGGCGAGGCCGAGCCUCACUAGAUCCAAGGUGAGGGUUGGCCUCUCCCAACCAAGUUGACGGUCUUGCCCGUUGCUCCACGUUUCCGGGGCUCCGGCUUCCGCGGUUUUUUGUUGCGGAAGCCAAGUUGGGUCGUCGUCUUCUCUAAUCCACCCUUUGCAAAAUGAGCCGAAAAACCCUCGGGUCCUUGGCAAGCUCCGACAAUGGAGGCAGUGAACAGGGUGCUGGCCGCGCUCACGAACUUCACUGGCGAGGUCGGCCUUGCCGUCGUUGGGCGAGACCGGCCUUGCCGUCGUUGGUCGAGGCCUCGCCAGAUCUGGCGAGGGCCGAGCUCGCUGGCACUGGCAAGAUCGACCCUCAACGGUCGACCUCGCCAGCCCUCGCCUAGGAAGGAGAAGCUGAAAAAAAAAAGAAUUCAAAAAUUCAAAAAAAAAUAUUUAAAAAUUCGAAAAAAAAUAAAAAAAAUAAAAAAAUUUGCCAUGUCAGCUUUCGCUGGACGGCCGAUGUCCACAUCAGCGCCGGCCGGCCCAAUUUUGGCCAGAUGGACUAAACUGGCACAAUUGUAAAAGGUUUAGGACUAAAUUGACUAAAAAAAAGAGUUUAGAACUGAAUUGACACAAUUGUAAUAGGUUUAGGACUUUUUUGGUAAUUCUCCCAUUCAUUCAGAGUCUUCAAUAACAAAUUUCUUCAGUUUGUUUCUCUUGCUUAGGGAUUGAGAAAUGUCAUGCACAGAGGGGAGAUAACCAUUGGGAAAAAACAAUUCCAGUCGAGGAGUAUAAACAGAUUGCUAAGGGCAAACUAAAUAAAAGCCCUCCUAAAAUUGUAGAUAGCAAGAGCACGUAGUUGUAGACUUGUAAUAAAAGUUCUUCGAAACGAUUGAUCACGAUGUUCCCAUUGUCUUCACUCGUCGAAUACGAUUCUAUGACGCUCAUCGAAUUUGGUAAGCAUACAAUGUGAACAUUUGGUCCCUCAGAUCGCAAGUCGAAAAUCCUCGUCACAUGACUAGUUGUGACUCGCAUCCUUCCAUGGUUCGUCCUUAUCUCGGCCGAGUUUGAAUGAAAGUUCUCCACCAACCGAUGACGAAGAUCCCCUGCAACAAUUCGGAGAUCCAAUAGGCACGUGAAUACAAUUUCUCGUAUUUGCUUGCUUUUGGUAAUCACCUAAUUGAGCAGUUAAUCUCCUCUAUCUUUCACUAGCACAUCUUGUCAAGAAUGAAAUACUUCCCCUACGUUUUAGUGAAUGAUCAACAUGCAUAAAACCAAUAUGAGGAAAACAACAAUAAUUGAAGGUCCGUCUUACCAUCUUGCAACAAUUUAAAAAAAGAAGUGAUAACUAGGAUAAAACUGACAGAAGUAAUAGUGACGUUUAUUUUGCUGAUAUAUCAUAAGUGAAGAUAUUUCAUGGAAAAAAAAAGUGAAGAUCUAAAACAAAAAUCAAUUGCUUCUAGAAAGGAAUCAACUCCUAAAUUUCGUAUCUAUCAUAUAAAUUCAAUGUGUAAACUCAACGUGAAUAAUGUGUUAAAAAUAAUAUUCACCAAUCUUGGAUUAGCCACUAAGAUCAAUAUUAAGCAAAUAUAACGUAUAUAUGUUAUAAAAGGCAGAACUAAUGCUGUUAAUAUUUCCCGUCUCCUUAACUGCAAAGAACUCAUCAGUUAGAUUUUUAAUUUUUAGCCUUCAGAAGAAUUUGGACAUUCAUGUAGAUUCAAACAAAAUAAACAAUUCUACGGGAACCGAAAAGUAUUGUACAUGUCGAACGCUCAUAACCAACAAGCCGAAUACACGUGGAGAAUUACACAAUCAGGAAUUAGCUACUCAAAAUCAUCCAAGUAUACCACAACAAUGGUAUUUACUUAUCAGUGGUAUAGAUUAAAUGAGUGAUAAUGUGGAGAUCCAGUAACACGCGAGCCUGAGCCUGAGAGAAUGAUCGCUUCUUCUUUACUCCUCACUCUUUUAUUCCCUCUUUCUUCCCGGACAUUCCGUUGCUUGUGCAUUCUGACUUUCUCCGUAAACGAACUCGCUCCUAAAUUUGGGCAGCCAGAAAUUGUUAGCGGGCACUCGUCUGCUACUUUCCAAUUGAAUACAUUAGGGAAACUGGUCAAUGAUCUGCAACCGAUCAAUUUCAAUUCUGUGAGCACCUCUAGUUCGUCCAAGGCCUUAAUUGCCAGAAGCUCUUCGCAUCCUCAAAUUUCCAAGGACUCAAGCUUUUUCAAACCCGAUAGAUCUUCUACACUUUCAAUCUUAGGACACGUGCAUAUUUCCAGUUGCUCUAACGAUUGCACUGAAACAAGACCAUGGAUCGCAGUUAUAUUUGGGGCAAUUUCAACCUCUUCAAACUCGAAAGACCAGCAAAUCCCUCGGAGAGUUGUAACGGUGACACAUGGAAUUCAACCAACUGUUCAAGCACGUCUAGUCGAACUUCCUUCCAACGACGUUAAAAAAUGUGCAAAUGUGUCAAUUAUCUGAAGUUGCAAUGAACUGUUUCCUGAUUCAUGAUUUACUAGUAACAAUGUUGACAAAAAUGGGGAAAGGAACAUGAGGGGUUGUUGGUAGGGGUGUCAACGGUUCGGUUCAGUUCGCUUCAAAAAAACCGAACCGAACCGAACCGUUAGGAAAAACUUCCGAAUCGAACCGAAUGAGACCCGAAUUGAAUACAAACUGAAUCGAAACGUUUCGGUUGGGUUCGGUUUUUCGGUUUUUGGUUUUAGCUUUUAGUUUUCGGUUUUUGCAUUUUUUUUUUGUUUUUUUGUUUUUUUUUUUUUUUCUGUUGUAUAUAUUUUUCGUUUCCAAGAAAUAAGCUCUUAUCGGUUUGUUAGAUUGGUUCGGUUCGGUUAACCAAUAAAAACUGAACCGAUAAAAAAAAUUUGGUUUUUAAUGAGAACCGUACUAAAUGAAAUCUGAAUUGAAAAAACCAAAUUUUUCGGUUCGGUUCGGUUCGGUUUUCGGUUUGAUUUUUAACACCCGUAGUUGUUGGCAUGGGCCAUCUUGGAAGAACAAUGGACUAUUCUUAACGGGACCACUAUAGCUCAAAUCCACCAAGUUAGGGUGCGCAUGACAAAAUUUCUGGAACAUAUAUUGAUUUAUGGCCAGAAAUUGAUUUCUCAAUUUCUAUUUCAGAAACUAAGGACGCGCAUGACAACUAUUAUGUUCAAGAAAUAGUUUCUGGAACAGAAAUAGAUUUUUCUAUUUCUAUUUCUAGAAGACUUUCUAAGCAAAAAUAACCAUUUGAUAACGACACAAAAUUUCUUCCUUUCAGACGGCAACGGCGACAACUGACGACUUUUAAUAUAAAAAAUAAAAAUAAAAAUGAUUUAGUAACAAAAAAAAUAAAUAAUAAAAUAAAAUAAAAUAAAUCAUAAAAAAAUAAAAUAAAAAUAUCCUUACAAAUAAAUUUAUUUUAUUUAUUCUAUUUUAUUUUAUUUUACGAAUAAAUUUAUUUUAAAAUGAAUAAAAAUAAAAAAAUAAAGAAAUUUAUUUGGCAAAACACUCAAGGCAAAAAUAAAAAUAAUAUAUUUUUAUUUAUCAUAAAUAAUUUUUAUUUUUAAUAUACUAAAAAUAAAAUGAUAAAUAAAAAUAAUUUAUUUAAUUUUAAUAAAUUUAUUUUUAAUUUUAAAUUUUAAAUGAGUAAAAUGAAUAUAUUUAUUUUUAUUUUUAAUAAAAUGAGGAGGCAGAGACGUAGAGGAGAUGAGGGAGGACUCACCGAAAUUAGAGUUUAGUGGGAGAAAUUAUUUCUGAUUUCUCUUCCAGAAAUCAGAAGUAGAAAAUUUCUAUUUCUAAUUUCUCUUCCAAAUCAAUUUCUAGAAUAGAUCUAUUCCAGAAAUAGAAAAAUAGGUUUAUAUUCUAGAAAUUGGUUUGGAAUAAAAAAAUUAUUUAUGGAACAUAAAUUUUGGUUAUCAUGCACCCCCUAAGAAGCUAAAAGUUUUAGCUUCUGAUUUCUCCUCCAAAUCAAUUUCUAGAAUAGAAAUAUGUUUCAGAAAUAGAGAAAUCAAAUUGCGUUACUAAACGGAUUUAUGUUCCAAACCUGUUUCGGGGAACAGAGAAAUAGAGAAAUCAAGAAACAAAAAUUUUAUCAUGCGCAGCCUUAGUUAGGUUUGAGAAAUUUGGGACCCACCACAGUGAACUUGAUUCAAAGCUUAGGCUUAUCAACGAUUGGUACGGCGCCACGAUCGUUCUCUGUGGCUCUAUAUUUUCCAUCUUGCUGUUCUUGUUGGGUUUCCUUGAUCUUUGUUCUUCGAGUGCUGGUGUUUUUGAAUUCGGUCUGCUGGAGCGUUGACUGUGACCUAGAACGCCGAUAUCAACGACGAUUGAGUUUCUUUUCUUGUACCUUAGCGAGCUCAGUGACUCGAUUGUUUGCCUGCUGAUUUCUCGCGCUGUCGGUUUCUUGAUUUCUAGCAGGGUUGUUGCCUGUUCGGGGGAUGUGGUUCGUUAAUUUGGUGAUUGUGGAUUGCAUCGGGUUGGUGGAAGUCUUUCUAGAUUACACACUUGCUGCUGUGAAUCGGAUAGGCUGUUUGUUUUUUUUUUUUUUUUUUCGGGAGUUGAAGAAUUAAUGAAAUCAUUUGAAUCUGUAUGCGAAACGUGGGAACAAUUAACGCGAAUUAUGCAUUUUGACCAAACUGUGAUUUUGAUGGAGCCAGUGAAUAGUUAAACUUUUUACUCUGUUGGUGUUACAACUUGAUUUGCUGAGCAUUUGAGAAAGAACAUAAUUUGUUUCUAAUGGAGCCAUCAAGAAAAUGCAGUUUGCAUAUGGCUGCAUGUGAUUUUCAUGUAAAGCUCGAAAGGGUUUGAGCCUACUACUGGAUGCCCCCUUGAUAUUCUCCUCGCUUCAAUUAAUAGCAGUGGGCAGCUAUUCUUCUUCACUUGAGCAAUGUUGGAAGUUUACAUCGAUCAAUCUUUACUCUGUGACAUUCUUUGUUUUUAUAGAUUGUUAAAAUUGGUUGCCUAAGUGCUUCAGAUAAUUCUCUUCUCAUGACAGUCUUGCAUUGGAUGGGGAAAUUGAUGUCUAAGAAAUUUAUAGACAUUAACACUAUGUUAAGUCCUUGAAAUUAUCUGUCCGACAAGUAAAGUCCUUGAAAUUAUUUUUCCAAUAAUUGGUAUCAGAAACACUAUUUAGCAUUGCGUUUUAGAUAUUGCUCUGCCUACUGCUAACACAUUUAGUGCACUUGUUGCAUCAUUUAAAAGGGAAGCUGAACAAUUUAAUCGCAUAAUAACUUAUUGCUUGUAUGGUUGCUGACAGACUCUUCUAAGAAAAUUAGGAAGCCAAAACCUUGGAAGCAUCCUGAAGCAAUUACAAGGACACAACUGAUGAAGAUGCGUGAGGAGUUUUGGGACACUGCACCUCAUUAUGGUGGGAGACAAGGUAUUUCUAAAUUGUUAGGAUAAGAUGGUGUUGACAUAAUGCACGGUCACCACCCUUCACCUUCACCCACCCACCCAGUGCUGUGGGAGAGGGGAAAACUUUGCUUUGCACAAUGAGUAGAUCAUACCUACGUGAGUCAUAAGUGCUAUUUUUGCUUGAACGCGUUUGAGCAAUUUCCUUUUGAAUUCUUAAGUUUCUUGCAUAAAUGUGCUGUGUAGCAUAUUUAUCAUGCUGUUGUUGAGUACAAAACUAUAGAUAAUGCACAUUGCACGAGAUACAUGUUUUCCAUGGGAAAGCAGGACAUGGCUUAUCUUGGGGGAACUCAUCGGAUAUUUGUGGUCUUCUUGUGACUAGAUAUAUUUUUAUUUGCCAUACACAAGGAUUGCAGUUGUCUUUAUUGCUAUAGAGGGAGGGAUGAGAUUUGAGUAACCAUGACCUCUAUACAUGCGUCUAUUCCUUAGAAAGUGGUCACUAUACUUUGACACUGGAUGUUGGUAUUGGUGAUGUUGUUUUCUUUAACUCAGCAAUGCAAUAAGUUACCUUGGUUGCUGUAUGGGAAGCUUGCUAGCUGCAAAUUCUCUUCUAUUUAUAUUUAUGGAAAGAUGGUUGUUGAAUGUAAAGUUUCCUAUGUUUUGCUGCUCAUUCAUCAAGUAUUAAAAUGACUUGAAAUACAAACAGCAAUUGGAUAAAGCACAUUCAUUUAAAGGUAGCAGAUGCCUUUUUGUACCUUGUGAGUUGUACAAUACUUAUCACUUAAAAGUGGACUGCAUGAAUUAUUUAGAAGUAGGGAUCCCUUUUCGAAGAAAUGUGCUUACCUGUUCGGUGUUCAUAUUGAAACUUGUGGAGGCUAUAACUAUGAUGAAUGAUAAUGUUUAUGGGCCUACUUAUUCAUUCAUUUUUAAACUUUUAGUGAGGUUAUACUUUUACACUUCUGGCUUGAGUAGUCUAUCCUCUAACUUGAAGGCUGACACUGUUUUGCUUUGCCUUUGUUAAGCUGCAGUCUUUCUCCCACAUACCAUUAUCUUUGAUUAUCCUAAGGCUGCGUUUGGUUGUUCGGAUUUUUAAUUAGGAGAGGACUGGAUAAGAUAAGAUAUGAAAUCUAGGGAUUUUGCUUGGUGAUUACAAUAAUAAAGUCGGAUAUAUUCACAUCAUAUCAUGUAUAUUGUUUAGUAUAAAUGGUAUAUUGAUAUAAAUGAAUAAAAAAUUUUACAAUUAGAAAUGAUAAUAAUCUCUUAUGACAUUCUUGCUUACUUUACUUUUAUUUGCUUUUUUAUUUUAUUUUUCUCUUUUUUGGAUUAAUUUCUUUUUUAUUUCUUUCUACCCGUUCCACUAUUCUUUAAUAAAAUUCUAUUAAAAAGUAAAUUGUAUUAAUAUACCUAAAAUACUAAAAUACUAGAAUAUGUAAAUUUAUAUUAUAAUAUAAUAUCAGGACGAGGCAGUCCAUUACAUGAAAUAAACUUUCUUUGCUGUUGAAAUGAUUGUGUGGGUUGACAAGUCUUGAGGGUAUGCUUGUUACUUCAAGUUGCUUGGACCCAUACGUCUGACGCAUUAAGUUCGAUCCUAUUUAGAAGAUGUGGCACAUAUCAAAUAUCAAAAGGCCACCCAUAAAAUGAAAGGUUUUUUUGUAAGUCAAAAAAAUAACUUGCUAUUAAUAUUGUCGACUAACAUUAAUAAGUGAUACCCAGUUAAUAUGAUUUUCUGGAGAUUUCUUUUCAAUUGGUGAAAGUGCCUAAAAACUACCAAGCGUGUUAUCCUUGAAAAUAGGCUCUCACUGUAGCCAACACUAAUUUGCUUUGAGUCACAAUGCUUUGCAUUCGUGACAAUGCGGUAAUAGUUUUGCUAUUGACUGACCAGAUGUAUUGCAGCAUGAGUUUGGGCCAGUUUGGUAAUGUGAUGAGAAAUGCACAUUCCAUAAGACUUGUGGGAUUUUUAAAGCAUUGCACAUCAAUAUUCCUUGUCUACAAUUAAGAAACCUUCAUAGCAACAACUGUGGAGUACGACACGCACAAUUGACAGAGGGAGUGGGGAGGCAGUGAGGGAGGGAGGUUUCUAGGUAGGCACAUAAUUUGUGCAUAUUUUUUGAGAUACAUUCAAGCCUCAUCUUCUGUGCAUUUUCAGUGGUGAAACUUUUAGAGAGACGGAAGAUGGUGAAGGAGCUGAUGUGAAUUGGCAUGUCAAUAUCUUGAUGACGUAGUUAUGUUUUCUGUUGUAUAUUACCUGACUUCCCCUUAAUCUCUAUAGUAAUUAAAUCUCUCUGUCUCACUACCUCUCAUUUCAUAUCACUGUUGUAGACUGGUUAAGCAAUUUAAUUCUGCUUUCAGAGAUAUGGGAUGCUCUGCAUGCAGCAGCAGAAGCAGAUCUAACGCUUGCCCAAGCAAUUGUGGAUAGUGUUGGCGUGAUUGUUCAGAGAGCUCACUUGACAAUAUGCUAUGAUGAAAGAGGUGCUAUGUUCAUCUAUUCACACAGUCCCCCACCCGCUUCUCGCCCACCACCACCUAGAAAUCUUUUCCAUCUCUACCAUCCUGUCCAGCAUCUAAUUCAUGCGAUGUUGAUUGUUGCAGGUGCGAAGUACGAAUUGCCCAAGAACGUUUUGAGUGAGCCGACCAAUUUGAUUGAUGAAAAUUGACAAUGGAGGUGGGGCAGAUUUUGCUCAGCUUCGUGUGUAAAUCCUGUGAAUUGAUAUUGAUAGUUUGGUAAAACAAAUUGCAUCAAAGUGGAGGUCAUUCAGGCAUUUUAAUGAUGCACGCUUAAAUACAAAUUUUACGUAACUUCUACCUCACGAGAUGUAUAACUACCACAAUUUCAUAUGGUUUGUUUCAUUAGUACCUGAACCUUCUAAAGAAACAUGAAAAGUAAUCAAUUCAGGUGAUUGUUACAGUGGAAAAUCAUGACAUCCUUGAGUGCUAGACCAUUGUUUUCUCCAACUUUUUACUGUUUCUCAGGCACAUUGACC